GUCCCUAUAGCUCAGUUGGAUAGAGCACCGGCCUCCGGAGCCGGGUGCGUCGGUUCGAGUCCGGCUAGGGACGCCA
rnacentral:tRNA from 1 species